CAGUAGCCACGGUAAUACGAAGGGUGCAAGCGUUAAUCGGAAUUACUGGGCGUAAAGCGUGCGUAGGCGGUGAGUUAAGUCUGCUGUGAAAUCCCCGGGAUCAACCUGGGAAUGGCAGUGGAUACUGGCUCGCUAGAGUGUGUCAGAGGAUGGUGGAAUUCCCGGUGUAGCGGUGAAAUGCGUAGAGAUCGGGAGGAACAUCAGUGGCGAAGGCGGCCAUCUGGGACAACACUGACGCUGAGGCACGAAAGCGUGGGGAGCAAACAGGAUUAGAUACCCCCGUAGUCCCUGUCUCUUAUAC
rnacentral:rRNA from 1 species